GAUGAACGCUAGCUACAGGCUUAACACAUGCAAGUCGAGGGGCAUCAGUUUGGUUUGCUUGCAAACCAAAGCUGGCGACCGGCGCACGGGUGAGUAACACGUAUCCAACCUGCCUCAUACUCGGGGAUAGCCUUUCGAAAGAAAGAUUAAUAUCCGAUAGCAUAUAUUUCCCGCAUGGGUUUUAUAUUAAAGAAAUUCGGUAUGAGAUGGGGAUGCGUUCCAUUAGUUUGUUGGGGGGUAACGGCCCGACCAAGACUACGAUGGAUAGGGUUCUGAGAGGAAGGUCCCCCACAUUGGAACUGAGACACGGUCCAAACUCCUACGGGAGGCAGCAGUGAGGAAUAUUGGUCAAUGGGCGAGAGCCUGAACCAGCCAAGUAGCGUGAAGGAUGACUGCCCUAUGGGGUUGUAAACUUCUUUUUAUAAAGGAAUAAAGUCGGUAUGGAUACCCGUUUGCAUGUACUUUAUGAAUAAGGAUCGGCUAACUCCGUG
rnacentral:rRNA from 1 species